UGAUUCCCCCAGUUUUCCAAACACAGGAGAAGUUUUCCCUCUGUUCCCACAGGAGCACACGGAUGGGCAAAUUGCAGCUCUGAAUUCACAGCCCUUGAGCCUCGGCCUGUUGGUGUCACCAACAAAGAUCAUGCUAGAAAAGGCUGCAGAGCAAAGCAAUUUAUUCUCAAUUUAAAAUAACUAAUCACAGGGCAAACAGGAAUGUACAGCCAGCUCUGAACAAACCAGAGAAAAGGACUUAGGCAGGAGAAAGAAGUUUCAUAUUUUAUUUAUAUAUACUCUAUUUGCCCUUGCUAUUUCCUGCCAUUUCAUUCUUUGUUGACUAGGCCACAGUUUACAAUAUGCUUUAUGGACCUGUCCUGGACUAUAACUAAUCUAUUUUUUCUUAUCUUGCAGGUGCUUGAUAUUACAACUGGACUACAGGGAAAGACCAAAGAGUAACAAGGCACAGCCAGGAGAGGAAGAAAAAUCACCCAUUUAAGAAGACCAAACUUUGCCCCUGAAGGUGUCUGUAACCACCACAAAUCGCUGUGGUCAAGCACUGAACAACACAGCAAGAUCCAUGUGCAAGAGGAAAGAGGACAAAUUGCUCACUCCAGCUUCCAUCAAGUCGAGGCAAGCACGGAGUGAGAUUUCCACUGUCCACUAGAUGGCAAAUGGUUCCAGCAGCCUCGGGAGCCGGGGUUUUCCGAUGGCAGUCGGGACCCAGUUCCUCAGACUCUGCACUGGCUUGGAGCUCCCAUCUUCUCCUCGUUUCUCGGGGCCGCCACGUGGCCACUGGGCCAGCCCAGGUUGUGGAGGGAGUCCCUGCCUGGAGCUUCUGCCACCUCAGAGGCAUGGAAGGAGGGAGGAAAGGGAAUUUCCAGUGUAGUGCAGGUUGUCUGUGUGCCCUGCUGAUUUGUGGGAUCCCCAUCCCUCUCAGUUGCCUGGGAAUGGCUGAGGAGACAAGCCCUGGGCUCCCCACACAAAGCCAGUGGUGCUCCAGGUCAGGAGGAGCUGGGCUGUCUCAGGUUCAGAAUUCCCUGGAUCAGGAGGAGCUGGGGUCUCUCACAUUCAGAAUUCCCUGGGUCAGGAGGAGCUGAGGUCUCUCAGGUUUAGGAAUUCCCUGGAUCAGGAGGAGAUGGGGUCACACAGAUUUAGGAAUUCCCUGGAUCAGGAGGAGAUGGG
rnacentral:lncRNA from 1 species